AAAGAAGAAGAAAAAAAU
rnacentral:sRNA from 1 species